GACCAGACAGUUUUCCUUUGACAACGCGCCGAGUCGCACACACGAUUUUCCUCUCGGCCCGAUACGUUUCGUUUCGUUUCGUUUCGUUUCGAUAUUUUCCUGUGAGCCAAGAAAAAACUCAAGAACUGAAAACAAAAAUCGCGUUCGCAUGCGACAAAAAAUAUCUUUCAGCGAGUGUGUGAAUGUUGCUAAAUUUAUAAAUAACAGCUUAAGUUCUGCUGCUCCCAAAGUAAAUCGAAAUAAAAGCAAAAGUGAUGCGUUCGCUGUCGUGAGGAGGAGAGAAAAGGGAAAUGUAAAUGGAAAAUGGGAAAAGCAAGGCGGGGGAAAAGAAGUAAGAAAAAUAUCAACGCAUAAAUAAAGCGCCGCGUUCGCGUCCAAUUUCUGUCGCAUUUGCCGGCUGCAUUCCCAAAUAGAUCGGCCCGCUAUAGCCUAUAGCUGGUCGAAUGCCCGUGGGCAACGCAGUAUAUAUCCCCAACCUGGCCGGUGCGUGCCGGUGGAUUAUGUAAAGUGGCACACGGCCGAUCUCGGAAUAUCGUCGAGCGCGAAAAAAAAAGAAAAAACCAAAACAACCAAGGAAUGAAAGUUUAACCAAAAACAAAAGGAAAAUUAAAAUGAAAAUAAAAUGAAAUAAAUGAAAAGAAGGGAAAAACAGAGAGUGUCGUUGAGGAUCCGUAGAAAUUUGUCGCACGCGCGCGUUUUCAGUAAAUGCAACUAAUUUAUUUUGCAUCUAUUGCAAUUGAGUUGAGAAUCGAGAAUCGAGAACCGAGAAUUCGCCGAGUGCCGAUCCGCCAGAUACGUUUUCGUAAUUGUCGUCAGUGGUUCGAGUUGCUCCGUUUCGAUCGUCGUACGCCUCAGUGUCCGCCAGAUUGGAUUACCACCCAGUCCACACGAGCCCAAAAUAAUUUACACAAAAUUUUCGUGAAAUUGGUAGGGCCAAAGAUAUAUGUAUUGUGACUGAAUUUUGAUUAACGAAAUCGAGGAUCGUUUGCCAAAAGCAACGCAAUGUCGUCCUACCGCAGUUAUACUCCUUGGAAAACUAGCUUGGGCAGUUCCUACAAGCCUGCCAGCUCUUCGUACGGCUCAGCAGGAGACUCCACAUCGCGCUACACUUCCCUGGCCACGCCUAGCUCCUACAGACCCUCGUUCUCUGGAGGAACAUACCGCCUCAAAAGGGAUCCACCACCGCCAACCACCACAACUCCAGUUACCAGCUAUGUCAGUCGCUAUGCCAAGGCAGAGCCCAAGGAGGCAGCUCCAACCGAGCGAACCAGUCCCGUUAAGAGGUAUACGGGUGCGUCUACCAGUUCAAUGGGGAAAUACGGUCGUUCAAGAGAUCCCAGUCCGGUGGCCUUGGAACACACAAAUCGCAACAAAUCUCGGGAUCCGAGUCCCGUAAUGGAUAGCGCCAGGAGUAAAUUGGGUUCUACAUAUCGUGGAGGUAAUGCCACCACGUCCUCGUCAUCCUCUUCGGCAACCAGAAAUGCUUACAGCAGUCGCUAUGGAGCAGGUUCUCGGGGAAUCUCAGGGAAUGGAAGUGCCUUAUCUUACUUGACCACCAGUGACUUUCAUGCCAGAACUGCCAGCAGGGCCAAGGCGAGCAGAGAAAGGGAGCGGGAGAAAGAGAAGGAAAAGGAGCUGGAGAUCGUGGAGAAAUCCGCAGAUGCCUCCAAUGGCAAGGAUAAGUCUCCUGAAAAGCAGCAGGAAAAACAAACGACAGAGACAGAAGCAGAAGCCAAUGAAACCUUCGUCACCAUUUCCGUAGUGACCCGAGCCACUUCACCCACUUUGCCGGGCAGCACCACCGUACAACGAACCCGUCGCAUUGAUCCAGCCAAAACCAUCGAGAAGACCAUCCAAAGAUCCACAAAAAGACGGGAGACAACGGAUCAGGAGAUACAGUCAGAUCGAAUGGAUGACUCCACUCGAUAUCUUCGUUAUAGUGCUGGCAGUAGCAUAAGUUCGACCUACAGUCCACAUAGGGAUAGGAUUAGUAGCCUCCGGUACAGUGCUAGUCCGUUGAACAGUUCAGGAUCAGGAAAGUCCAGUCCUAUGGGUGAGGCUAAACCGAUUCAAUCGAUACCAGAAUCUGUAUCACCAGCUAGGACCAAUGGUUCCAUUAGCUCUGCCAAAUCCUCAGAAGCUUUAUCACCCCCAAGGACCAUCAAUGGGUCAGUUAGUUCAGGAAAAUCACCUGAAGCCCUCUCCCCACCGAGAAGUAAUGGCUCUAUAAGCUCAUCCAAGUCUCCAGAAGCUGUAUCUCCACCAAGGACGAAUGGAUCUUUGAGCUCAUCGAAAUCCACAAAGUCCAAGCUAUCACCGCCGAAGGCCAUACGCUUGAACUCCCGCCAAUCGUCAGUGGAGAACCUUGUUAACAAACCACCUGCACCACCCAGCAAGGCGGAUUCACCCACCAAGACAUGCAGUUCCAGUUCUGGUAGCUCAGCUGUGAAAUGGCCCAACAAGGACUUCCGUAAGUCCUCCUUAAAUGUGGGUCCAACGGAUAGGCCACGAAAGUCACGAACUCCUAGUAGUGGAGGGGAGUCGGAAGACCUACCCAAUGGCAGUAGCCUCGAACGAUCACCAAGUGCGGGAUCCGAAGGCAGUUUAGCCUCUGGUAGCUCCUCAAAGAAAUCAACAAAGCUAAGCAAUGGCAAGGUGCCAGGAAGUGCGAAACCAAAGAGCCAUAAAUCCUGCAGUGAAACGACCACUGGCAACUCAUCCUCGGCCAACGCCUCCGCUUCUGAUAGCGAUCAGCGGGUCAAGACCGUGAAAAAGCAGGCCAAAAAGAAGACCACCAAAGAGGGCAGUGCUGGCAAGGUUGCCGCCGCCCACAAGUCACAAAGCACCACUGAAUCACCGCCCGCCGUGGCCACUGAUGUGAUGCCAGCGACACAGACAAGACUGAAGAAGCUCUCGGCGGUAUCGAAUUUUUUCGCUAGCCGUCAGCAAGACGCAAAUAACGAGCCGAUCUUCCUUGAAAGCUCCGAGAGCUCGGGCGAACCGGAGGCUCUUUCGCUGCCAGUGAUCUCGGGCAUAUCGGCCAUCUCGAAGAUCUCGAAAAUCUCUGGGAUCAGUCUGACUACAGAUUUGCGAACGAACGAACCGCGAACGACGCCAUCGAGCGAAGCGAAACACACAUCCCAAACGAAUUCUCUAAGUUCGAGCACACGUUGUCCACGAGAAACCACUACAGGAACAGGAACGGGAACAAGAUUACCCACCAGCACGAGUAGCACCACCCAGGACACGAGUCUCACGACCACUGCGAGUUUAACGACCUCCGAGCAGGACGAUCCCAGUUGGUGGCAGGAUACCAGCCUGCAGAUAAACACGGCCUCUGCUUUGGACCAAAAUAAUCGAGGAGAGAUGCCUCCUUACCGGUUGAGACACAUAGACUCUGGGGAGGAGCAGGCCUGGUGGCUGCGCCACGAUGAGAAUGGCGAUGAUGAUGACACACUGGCGGAGGAGACUCUGAAUCCCCUAGAUGACGAUGCCCAGGAGCCAAGCAAAGGUACCUGGUGGAGUCAGGAGGAUCAGGACUCCAGCAGUAAGGUGAAACUGAUGCCCAGGAGCAGGAUAACACCGGAGAAGGAUGCCUGGUGGCUGCAGGAUGAGGAGGAGGCUGUGGAAACUCCCAGGGAGAAUGGUGAUCUGAACAACAACAGCGAGCCGCAUGUAGAGGUGACCUUAAGAUUACCCUCAAAUGGCAGCCAAAGGAGCUCGAAGGGAACUCCUUCAAAGAGCGGCAGCAAUUCCAAGAGUGGUGGCUCUAAUCCUUGGUGGCUAUCAGGACCCGCCAGAAAGAUGUUCAAUGUGCAGCGGGUGGAGUCCGGCGAAAGAGCCUGGUGGCAGGAAGAUCCCGAAGAGACCCCUCAAGAGGAAAAGGAGAACGAGCCCCCGCCAGUGAAGCCACCAACUCCCCCACCACGAAUCAUCAAGCACUGGGAGUCCGGUGAGCGUGCCUGGUGGUUACAGGAAGACACAGAGAACACACAAAUCCCCAAUCAGCCAAGCAGCGAUGAUGAGGAACAGCCAGUGGUGGUGGUAUGUCAGCAGGAUUCUAGGGAUGAAGUAGAUCUGAGGCUGGCACCACCCACGUUGGUAUCUCAGGAGCUGAGUACUUCCUUUAACUUCGACGCCUACUCCGAACGACCGCCGCCACUGGGUCAAUGCGCCAGUCCCGUCCGCUGCCCCUCGCCCUAUGACAACAUUCCAAGGUCACAAGUGCAAGAACCACCACCACCAUCUCCUCCCACUUUGACCACCCUGCAACCACGCUUUUCACCGCAAGCACGACGGGCCGGAGAAAAGCUCUUCAUCUCACGGCAUCAGAACAUCGAUGAGCUACUGGGCGGUGCUUGCCGCCCCCUCAGUCCACUCUUUUAUGGAAACAAUAAUCCUACGGAGGCUGAGCUGACCCCGUUAGCCAGCAAGAACAUGUUCCUGCUCGAGGAGGUGACACCCGACCAGGUGCGAAUCCACGACAGCACCGCCCAACUGCCGGUCAUCCAGAGAAUGCAGCGCGAUGUCGAGUGGUUGGAGAACGGUAGCAACUUUUACGAGCCACCCAAACAACAACAACAACAUCAACAACAACAACAACAACAGCAGCAGCCGCGCAGGAUCGAUGAUGCAGCCAUUCAGGUGUACAAGGAUGGCGACUAUGGAGCCUACCUGGAUCUGGAGUCAUCUCUGGCCGAGCAGACCGAGGAAAUCGAGGGACUCAACGUGAGCCGCAAGAACUCACUGGUGGUGCGAACGCAGUUAAAUGUGCGCGUCCAUGCUAUAAUUGAGAAACUUCUUUCCUCGGAGGGCAGUGACCUGAGGCGUGCGCUGUUCUCGCUGAAGCAGGUGUUCCAGGAGGAUAAGGAUCUGGUGCACGCCUUCGUGGCCCUCGGCGGCCUCAAUUGCCUGGUGCGCGUGGGCAAUUGUGCGGAUCAAAACUAUCAGAAUUACAUUCUGCGAGCCCUUGGUCAGGUCAUGCUCUAUGUGGACGGUAUGAACGGCGUGAUGAAGCAUGAGCCGACGAUGCAGUGGCUGUACUCACUGAUUGCCUCCAAUUACCGAUCCGUGGUGAAGACCGCCCUCAAGUUGUUGCUGGUCUUCGUGGAGUACGCCGAGUCCAACUGCUAUGUACUGGUCAAUGCCAUUCACGCGGUGGACGCUUCCCAGGGCACUCUGCCCUGGUCGAAUAUAAUGAGACUGCUUAAGGACUAUGAUAAUGCUGAUGCCGAGUUGGUCAUCUAUGCCACUUCGCUGAUUAACAAAACCCUUGCUGGACUGAAUGAUCAGGAUAGUUUCUAUGACGAGAGCGAUCUUCUGGAGCAGCAGGGCAUGGAGACUGUGAUCCAGCGAUAUAUGUCCAAGCCAGGCACUGAUUUAGAUCUUCUCGAUCAGUUGCAACUAUACGAGGCUGUGUUGAAAUUUGAGGAUGGUGAGUCGGAUGGACAGCGUUUGCCGCAGAAUUCAAUGCGUAAAACGCAGCGUUACCGUCCGGGAACAAACACCACCGAAAGACGUAAGUCACGUCGACACAGCACUGACAACAGCCCUGCCCCCAUCACAAAGGUCCUGCCCACCACUGUCCUUCGAAUGACACCCACCCAAGCUACUGUAGAUGAGGAUAGUUCUGGGUCUACAAAUUCAACGGAGUUUAGCGGAGGACUCUUCAAUGAAAAGAAACCUCGCGAUGGAGCUGGUGUAACGCCAGGACUUCGAAGAAGACGAGAGCGGGCGGAGAGGCACAAGAGUUUCCUCAAGGAGCAACAGGAAGCGGCGGCCAAUGGAAUCUUUGCUGCUCUCGAGCAGCGAGAAGGUUUGGGCCAAAUAGUAACCGCCAUACCCGCCACCAUCCAAACCGGCGACAGUCCACCUGAAUCACUGCAACAUGAGGUGGUGCCGCCGUGCAACAACAUCAGCGGUAUCACCAGCAUAAGUAACAACAAUAUGAGCAACCUGAGCUGCAAUGACACGCCGAACAAUAGCCUCUUACUGAUGAGUCCCAGCAAGCAAUUGCUCACCGGAAGCCACAGCAUUUCCAUCAUAAACAACAGCUUCGACAAGGCGAGCAAUAAUAAUCAAAGCGAGUUCCUCACGAAGAAGAACCUAUUCCGGGAACGAAACUCAACUGUGAUCAGUGGUAUUAUGAAGAAUAUCCAGCAAACCGAUAGUGCCUAUAAGAAGUACGAGAACGAAGCCAAUCGGCUGAAUAACUACUAUAGUCAGUCGCCGAAGCAUCAGAUCCAUCAGCCCAAUCAGAUUCAGACCACGCCGGAAGACCUUUUGAGUCCCAAGAAAACGCUGAAUGCCUCCGGGUUUGAUUUUACGCCUGCUCCCCUGAGUUCCACACCGGUUAAAUGUGAAGUCUUGCCGGAACCGGAGCCAUUGAGUCCGGUUAGGAAACCCGUUGCAGCCAAUCCACCACCACCACCUCCUCCACCGCCACCGCCGCCACCACCGCCUCCUGGCUGGUGGCAUGUCCCCAUCUACAACAGCCCGCCGCCAGCUCGAACCCUAACCAGUACUAACCCAGAGCUGCUGCCGCAUCCUGUGGAUCCUUCAGAUUUGGAAAGCGAGGACAAGCAGCUUCUGCUGCAGCUGAAGAGGGACCACACUGUCAAGGAUCUCACCCAGAAACUAAGCAAUCUGCCCAUGAGCCCGACCCAGGAUCCGGCGAAUCGAGCUCUCGUCGGCGACAUGUCCGGUCUCAUUUCGAAAGCCAAAGAGGGUCUGGCCAAGAGCAAGAGCAAAGGGGAGAUAUCGAGAUCUUCUAGUGUGGAUCAGGAUAUAAAGAAGUCUGAGCCCAAGAAGUCGGAAAACGAACUUCACUGGGAGGAACUGGUUAGAAAUAUGACAAGGCCCUUAAAUCUCUGCGAUCUGGACUUUACGGAUCUGCGGGAUGAUGACGAGAAAGAUGUGCUGGCUCCUCGAAGUCUGGGAGCUGGUAUUCCUCCACCUCCCCCUCCACUGGGAGGAGCCAUUGCCCCACCACCCAUGAUGCCUCCCAGUCUGGCACCUCCUCCUAUGUUUGGAUAUGGUGGAAGCCUCACAAACAGUGUUAACUCGCUGAAUGGAUCUAUCAAUGGGGAGCUGGUCAACGGCAAUAACACCAUCAAAAAGAAUAAGAAGACGGUCAAGCUCUUCUGGAAGGAAGUUCGCGAAGACAUGAUACCGCAGGUGGUGGGCAAGACCAUUUGGGAUGAGUUGCCCGAUGCCAACGUGGAUACCCAGAAGCUCGAACAUCUCUUUGAGUCUCGGGCCAAAGACUUGAUGACCAAGAAACAACAAGAGUUGAAUAAGAGCAAAGAGAUCAUCGUGCUCGACCACAAGCGCUCCAAUGCCAUCAAUAUUGCAAUCACCAAGCUGCCACCUCCGAGGGCUAUUAAGACGGCCAUCCUCAAGAUGGAUGCCACUGUGGUCACGCGGGAGGGCAUUGACAAGCUGCUCAAUAUGCUGCCAACCGACGAGGAGCGUGGCAAGAUCCAGGAGGCCCAGUUAUCCAAUCCAGAGCUACCCCUGGGCAGUGCUGAGCAGUUCCUGCUAACCCUGGCAUCCAUUUCAGAGUUGGAAGCCCGCCUGAAGCUGUGGGCCUUCCGUUUGGACUUCGACAACAGUGAAAAAGAGAUUGCGGAACCCCUGAUGGAUCUCAAGCAAGGCAUUGAGAUCCUGCGUCAGAAUCGCACCUUCCGCAGCAUCCUCUCCACCCUGCUGUCCGUGGGCAUUUUCCUGAACGGAGCUCCUGUCAAGGGAUUCCAGAUCGAGUAUCUGGCCAAGGUUCCGGAAGUGAAGGACACAGUGCAUAAGCACUCGCUGCUGCACCAUCUCUGCCACAUGGUUAUGGAAUCUAGCAGUGAUACCAGUGAUCUCUACUCAGAGAUUGGACCCAUAACCCGUGCCUCCAAAGCGGAUUUCACAGAUUUGGCUCACAAUCUGAAUCAGCUAGAGGCGGAAUGUAAGGCCUGCUGGGAUCGCCUGAAACUAAUUGCCAAACACGACUGCCCGCCACCGUUAAAGCAGAAACUGGUGGAUUUCCUGGCCGAUUGUGCCGAGCGUAUCAUAAUCCUGCAAAUCGUCCAUCGGCGGGUAAUGAAUCGUUAUCGAAAGUUCCUUUUGUGGCUGGGAAUGCCGCAGCACAGUGUGGCGGAGUCGCGACCCAACGAAUUCAGUCGGACACUCUCUGAAUUCGCCUUGGAGUACCGAACCACCCGGGAACGUGUGCAGCAGCAGCUGGAGAAGAAGGCCAAUCACCGCGAGCGGAACAAGACUCGAGGAAAGCUGAUCAUAGACAUGGCCAAGUUCAAGACCAAAGAUGACGUGGCCGAUGAUGAGUUGAAAAAACUUCUAGACACAUCGAGUGCUGACCAGGCCGAUGGCACUCUCACCUGGCGAAGACGACGAGCGGAACAGCUGCGUUCACCCAUUGCCCGGCAUAGUGAGGAGCAGUUCACCGACGGUGACGAUGAGAUAUUGGAAUCUCUGGUCAAGACCGCCACCAAGGCCCCAGGAACCCGGACAACGCCCAGGGAGCGGAAACGAACGCGACAUGCGGACCGCAAAUCAUUGAAGCGCAGCCGCACGCGCGAAGGAUUCACAGUUGAAAGAGCACCGUCGCCGUAGAACCGUUAACCGUUACUGUUAACCGAAUCCGUAACCGUUACCGUUACCAAAAGAACAGCCAACUGUUUUUUAGGUUUUACCUUUUUUGUACGUCGCACGCUGAAAAACGGUCUGACCGAAGAGGAGAAACAGCACGUGGCUGCCUUAAUACAAACCUAUUAGGAUUAGGAUAUAUAACUAUUGUAGAUACCCGCAUCACAUCCGAGAUAAACCCAUCCCCAGUGACGUCACAAGUCGGGCACUACGCGCACAGACUGAAAUUGGCGAUCUCAGGCGAGCAAGCGAACCCAGAAAACCCCGUUUUAUAACGACAACGUGCGCAACAUUAGUACUUGUUUUUAUUUUUAUUUUUUUAAUUUGUAUUUUAUGGCUAAAAUGCCAAGGCAGCAAAAAGAUCACCAACAACAACAACUGCAACGAAAAUGUCCUUAAACAAAAGCGUUUUUCAUCGUGUUUUUCUGUUAUUUAAUUUUUUGUUUUUGCUUCAGCUAAGUAUUAUUAAUUAAACGUAAUUCAAUAAACCUGUAUUAGUAGUUGGAAAAACGAUUUUAAUGUUAGAAUUUUGAUCGGAACAAAUUUUCAAUAUCCUGAACCGCGUCAUUCAAUUUGUACCAAAAUUCGAGACGAUUUGUGCUUUCUAAAUUAACUUAAAUUUAUAGUUAUGUCUAACUUAAUUACGAAAAUCAAUAAAUAAAACAUAUUUAUUACACACGAAAA